AUGACAGCUAUUGUUUUGACCAGGUUUUCCCCCAAACCCCAUGUAAUUUUUUCCCAAACACCUGGGACUGUGUGAAGAGAACUGUAGAAGACUAAAGUCCAUGGAAUGGGUGUGACAGGAUGGCAUAUGGAGGAAGAAGCCUCUAGAAGGUUGAAACUUUGAAUGGAUUAAAGGAGAUCAGUGAGAGUACAUAUAAGGAAUUAAGGAGCUCCCACAUCAGUGCUGUUUGAACAGUGGAGUGAACUACUUUGCAAGGAAAUGAGGUUCCAGUUCCUGGAGGCAUGCAAGCAGAGGCCUGAGAACCACUGUUAAAGGAUGUUGUAGAGAAGACAAGGCAUCAGAAGGGGGGACUGGCCCAGGGGAAUUCAAGGAUCCUUUGAGACCCUGAGAUACAUUAGGAUGGAAAGAAUGGACUCUGAAAGCACCCAGAUGUGAACAGGACCCCUAACUGCUUGGGCAAGUCCAGUACCUCCCUGAUCCUCAGUUUCCUCCUGUGUAUAAUGGAAAGAACUACUCUACAGGAUUGUUAGAAUAAAAUGAGGUAAUGUAGCAAAUCAUCUAAGACAGCAUCUGGGAUAUAGAAAGUGCUAAAUAAGUGCCCUUCUUGGAGGUAGCAUUUUCCCCCUUUGAUUUGCCAUCAUCCUCUGAUGAGAACAUCAUCCUAAAUCUCCCAGGAAUCUCUGGAGAACAUACACAAGGAGGACUUCCAAUAAUAGUUUUCACUAUUCUGUUUUCAAAGGGUCGUUCCCAAGCCAGGGACCUAAAGCUAGUACCUUCCCAACCCCGAAUCAGCAUUUAUGGUCCCCAGGUGCCCCCUGCCAUGAGCAGUUCAAAGAGGCAGAAUCUGAUGUUCCUGGGAACGUGGCCAUUGGGCUCUGGAGGCUGCUUGAAGCAACUAAAUGACUUCCAUCCAUAAAUAGGGAGUUGCUAAUAAUAAAAGACAGUAUCUGCCGAGGGAGACAUAAGGUUCCUUUCGGGAGCUGACAUCCUCGUCAUGGGUAGCCUCAGCGUUCUGAGUUCUCCUGUAGGGAAGCCAGCGCCUGAUGCAUUGGGGCAUGGCUGAAGACGCUGUCAUGGGCUGGGGAAGAGGACGAGAUGCCCCACCUUGUAGAGACAGGCACCCCUGCCCUUCUGAAGCCAAGAGCUCUGGACCCUGCUGCCCAUUGGAGUCGCCUAAGGAAGUUUAUAAAAAUACUGAUAUCUCGAACCACCUUCAGAGAUCUUUAAUUACUCUACGGCAGACCCAGUGUUGAGAAGCAGUGGUCUAGGCGCAGCUCAGGCCUGCUGAAGAGUAAGCCAAAUAAACUUCCAGGAAUGCCCGAAGGAUUUACAACCAGCGCGGCCCUCUUGGGUGGGCUGAUGUUAGUAUCACAAACACACAAGGUUGUUUGCCUGAAACUGUGAGUCAGUCAUCAAGGGCACACCCAGCAUGACUCCCAGCAUGAAAAGGUUUCUUGAUGAAAAUUGAUUUCUUCUCCACAGCCUUGUGACAUGGAGCAGUAAGAGGAGGCAUGGCUCACCAGCCCAGAAUGAUGGUGCCACUGGCAGAUUGGGAGGUAGAAAAUGAACCCGUGACACAGGGUUCAGCUUGGGCACCUGCCUGAAUUCAUUGUUAGCUCUAGAAUUUGGGGUUGGAUACUUAACUCAGAUGCAUAUUUCUUCCCAUGUGACACAAGGACAUUUCUUACCCAAUUCACAGGGUGAUAUUAAAAUAGAAAACAAUGUUUGUCAAGUGUAAAGCGUGCUACAAAGUGUCACAAUAUUCAUAACAAGGAAAUGUGAGUUUACAAUUUUUUUACACCUGUAUAAAGCACUCACUAUGUGCCAGGAGCAUCAUUUUAUACACAUUAUCUCCUAGGAUCCCCACAGCAUACCACGAGGAAGAUGAUGUUAUGCUUGCUGACAAAUAAGGGGAUUUCAGGGGUUUCCAGACAAUGUAUUGGGAUCAACCAUCAAAUCAGGAAGACUUACCUGGUAAGCCACUAAGGCAGCUGCCACCACAUCCCCAACCACCUCUACUCUGCAGAGAAUUCCAGCAUGAGAACCCUCCCACUUCACAAAAAGUAUAGGGCUUUCUGGUUUAGGAUCAUAAUAUCCUCCCAGGGUCAUCCCCAAGAUAAGGCAAGAGGUACACAGGAACCCUCAUACCAACCUGGUCUCCUCAGGGUGAAAGCUACUGCGACUCCGAUAUCUGUAUCCAAACAAUAAGAGCAUUAAAUGAGGCACAUGUUAGAUUUGCUCAGCACAUCUGUUCAGGUGGCAUCACUCAGUGUUUAACCACAAGGCCCGCACUGCAGGGAGGCAGCCAGCCUGGCACAAGAAAGAGGGGCUGGACUGCUUGAGUGUGGGUCUCAUGUAGGCCACUUUCUAACUGUGUCACUGGAGCUGGCCCUGGGACUUCUCUGAGCUCCAGGCUCCUCUUCUGUUCCUCUUGUUCAGGAAGUGGCCAUAAGGUUAGUUCUGCUUUUUCUCACUGGGAUGUUACAUAGAUGACCUUAUUGAUCCCUCAUGCUGAACUAUUAAAAGCUGUACACGUAGCUAAUGUAAUGUCAUGUCCACCGCUCGGCAAAGCCAGGAUUAGAAAAUUGCUCACAGCCAGAGUUGCCACGUGUUCUCCCACUUGUGUCACCAGAUUCCCCUUCUGGAAUCACCUUCUCCACCUUCACUGCAGAAUGGAGGCAGCUCAGGCC
rnacentral:lncRNA from 1 species